rnacentral:piRNA from 1 species
UGGCAAGACCAAGACCUAAGGACUACUGUCUC